AGAGGCAUGCAGGCCCAUUAAUCAUAUAAGCCCAGACCUUACUUGACUAAUGAUUCAACACACUUUAAAUUUCAACACUUCUCCUCAAGUUAGGCCUGAAGAUAUUAAAAGUGCUUAAUUUAUACAUCAUAUUCUCGUAUAAUUUUUGACUAAGAGUAUAAUAAUCCAAAAUUUUUAAAUAAAACUAAAAUAUAAAAUAACAUUUUUAAUUGUAUUUACAUUAAUUUUAAAAAAAAUAAGAAAGAAUGUUGGUUUGGUGGCAUUUCAUUGAUAAUUUAUAUGCAUCAGGUACCAGGUUCAUAAGGUCAGAUUAUUCUUUUAAAAAGACAGAUUUUUUAUGUCGGUUUCAGCUUUGCAAAUUUAUUAUUUUGACCUCAAAAGCAAUCAGAUUUUUUUUUCUUUCUUGGACCAUUUUCUUUUCAUUUUCGUUAGUCCAACGGAAGCAGAAACAGAGGAUAGAGACGUGAGAGAGAGUGAGAUCCAGAUUUGAGCCUUCAUUCUCCUCCUUGCUUGGCUUUCAUCCUUCACCGGUGAGAGGUGUAUCGUCUUCCGCCGUUGCAAGGUGUCCCGACGAAGUGACUAUCGGCCUUCUCCCCUGUUGACCGUGGGUGUCGGAUCCUUCUCCCUCCUCUGUUCUUAGCGUCACCGGCGUGGGUGGCAAGGAUUCGACUUGCCACCACCUUCCUUUACCUACGCUUCACUUCGUUCAGGUUUUUCUGCCGUCUCCUUCUGCUCUUCUUCCCUGACUGCUGUAGUAGAUAAAAGACCAUUCCUCUUUUCCUCACCGACGUCGAUUGUGUGGGUUAGAGCUGAUCCUUUCUUCCAUCCGUGCACUGCUGUUAGUAUUGCCAUCGAGUCCCUCAUUCAUUGUCUUCCUCUGCUUUAAGGGCAGACUUUAUACAGAACACUGGUUGCUAAUGGAAGUUUCAUUAGCCCUUGGCGCGCUAUGGUACACCUAGCUAGCAGGGUGUUUAUAAGUGAUGCUAGCCCCAUGUGAUGGCCAACGCACGUGGAAUGGAGAUAUCAUAGCCGAUUUCGUACUCCUUGCUGAUCUCUGAUAGACUCGUUGAUGAAUUGAUCAGAAGAUUACUUUUGAGAACAUCAUCUUAUUCAUGUAAAAUUCAAAAACUUAUGUAGGAUCUUUUGGAAGUUCGAUUUAAAGUGCUCCACAUCAACUAUAGUCAGGGUUUUGAUUUUUUUUGUUAAUUACUUGUUGCUAAGGAGCAAAGCUCUAUAUUGUUCAAUAUGUGAUGUAAAUUUUUUGUUAUAGGGAUUUCAGAGGACUCUACCUUUAGGGGAUGU